AUGAGCCUAAUCAACACUUGGCCUCAUGACUCAUUACCCCAUUGUGAGAUGCUCCACCCAGAGGGAGGAACCAAGCAUCCCAUCCUGGAUAUAAUCUGGGACUCUGACCACCAGAGACAACCCUUCCCACUGGAUUUCCAGAGGACAGGAGCUACACAGCCACUAUUGGACUUUCUGAGGAAGAGCAGACUCUUUUACUACAGGAUCACUGCUUCAGAGGACUGCAGCCACCAUUCUACCAGACUGCUACCACCACCCUGCCUAACAGGGUGUCAGGAGAUUUCCUUGGGGCUGGACUGGAAUAUGUCUCCUGGGAAAAUACCUCGUAUUUCCUGGAAGACUCCAGGCAAUGGUGACUCUACCACCUCCUCAGGUGUGCUUGGCUUACCUUCCCAGCUCCCGUGGUCUCCCUACCCCCCCAGAAAACCAGCUGCUGGGAGCUAUAUGCAUAACAUAUAUGCACUUAACAACGCUUUCAUUGUCUUUCAAUCCAAUUUCAAAGGUCAUUUUCUCAGCUGAUUGCCCUGGCCUGUCACUCCUCUUCUUUUGCACAAUGCUAUUGGCUCCCUUUCUUCACUGUGUGAAAUACAAAUGACUUCACUUUACUUUUCAAACCAUGUCUAAUCUACAUCACCAAGAAGUAUCCCUCAUUGCCAUUAUACAAAUGAUACCAGUAUUUUAAGGCAGUCUUGUACAUUCGCUUUCAUGCUUUCACCCAUGCUGCUGAUUAUGCAUAGCACAAAAACAGUGUAAUACCCCCAAACCCUUCUUUCUCUGCUUUUUUAAGCAUCAAGUCUCUGCCUCAAGGCUUGUCAGAGUAUGAGCAUAACUACAUAACUGUUUUUCUAGAGAUGCUUUUUCAUAUGAGCCAGUUAUCACCUCUUCUUCCUGCUCAUCUUCUCUCUCUAAGGCACUACAGAGGCAAAACUGUUUGUUAUUUUUAUGUCCUUACAGUGCAAGCUACAGUGAGGGUGGGUUUAGGUGUAAUUUUAAGAGCAGUAUUAAUAAUAAAAACACAGUAAAC
rnacentral:lncRNA from 13 species